rnacentral:misc_RNA from 1 species
AAUUGAAUCCACUAUCUAUCUCCUGUCCAAGAUCAUAAUACACUAUCAAUCAAAUUAAUGUGAACCAUCAAACAGUACCCAAAAAUACACAAGCAUAUGAAACACCAACAUUUUUUUACGCUUUCUGACACAUAACCUUACAACUACAACUGACCACCAAAAUGAACCGUCAUCUCCUCAUUUUGGUUUUGCAUCAAGUAGGCAUAUCAUAAUCAUAAUAUAAUGAAAAAAGUGGAGAGUAAGGCUUAAUUAUUUGCAAUUAGAUUAAAUAGCUGAAAUGGCAUCAAUAGAGAGAUUAGUAAUUCUAGUUAUACUAAAGGCAAGAGUAUUACACACUCAUGUCUUUUCCCUUUCUUCCCUCCCUCUAAAGCAAUGCUCAGCAAAGCUACAAUUCCUCACUCCAUUCCCUCUCUCUUUUUCCUUUCCCAAUCCUUUCCUGUUUUCCUCCUCCCUUUUCUCUUUAUUUAUGUUUUCUCUAUGAUUUAACUAUUGGACAGCAGAGUAGGAGGACAAAGCUCGGGUUGAUUUGAAGAUUCUCCAGUUAUUUCAGAUGAUACACGUUUAGCACGGAUUAUGGUGGGUUUCUUUUUAGUUUUGACUUUUUUGUUUUUCUCACAUUGAUUUUUAGAUUUUAGUCAUGUACAACGCAUAAAAUCAAAUGCCCUAGUACAGAGUGUGACAGGUUAGUAGGGGAAAGGGGGAGAAGGGAAAGAGAGAGGCCUAAGAAGAUAACAUGGAGGGAAAUAGUAUCAAAGGAUUUAUAAGUUUUGAAUACUAAUGCGGACCUAAUGUCUAACAUAACCGAAUGGCAAAAAAUGAUCCAUAUAGCUGACCCCAACCAGUUUGGGAUUAAGGUUUUAGUUGUUGUUGUUGUCAUAUUAAUUUUAAGAUUUUAAAUAAUUGAUUAAUCACUCAUCUUUCACAGGUUAGGCAGUUCCAUUGCAAUAUUCAGGUUAGUUUCAGUUUGAACUUUGAAACAGUUUGGAUUUUUUACCAUAUAAUUUUGGAAUAUUUAUUUACCCUUGUUUUAUUUUAUUUUUUAUAUAUCACUGAUUUCUUAUUUCCCAGUUCAUAUUUUGAUCAUAAAAGAUUUCUAAUGGAUUUUUUAUUGGCUGUCCUUGAUUGAUCCUUUGUGCUAAUUUUAUAUAAUUGUGCUAACUAUAACACAAGCUCAAUACUGCAAAUCGUGCAGGGCUGCUUAUUAGUUUGAGUAUCUAUUACGGAGCAAGGAUAACAUGCUAGAGUAUGCUCCACAGUAAGGCAAAUGCCUGUUUCCAGCAAACAAGCAAAAACUUAAGCUACAGAGAAAUUAAAUAGCAUCACUCAGUUUCUUAAGAAAAUCAACUAUGCAAACUCACUGUUCCAGUCAAAAGCACAAGGAAAUAAAUGGGAAAAAAAAUCAACUGACCUUAGGCGUUUGGCUGUUGGUGC